rnacentral:misc_RNA from 1 species
GUUUUUGCAUAAUCAAUGUUUUAAUAUUUUAUCAUUUAACUAGAAACCAAUCUAGUUUUUAUGCAUAUAAACCUCUGAUGGAAUGGGUUACUAACUAUUUCGUAGGGACGGUAAAAGUUCCCGAAUCCGAUUUGAUACAAUCCACCUCAAUUUGUGUGGGGCAGGAUGUAAGACCUUCUCCUCGCCUCGAACCCUCGUGACCUGUCU